rnacentral:tRNA from 1 species
ACUUUUAAAGGAUAGAA